rnacentral:tRNA from 1 species
GUAGGCAUAGUUUAAAUUAAAACCCUAAGCUGUGGACUUAACAACAGGAGCUCCUCCUCCUUGCCAACC